rnacentral:rRNA from 1 species
CCUACGGGUGGCAGCAGUGAGGAAUAUUGGUCAAUGGCCGCUAGCCUGAACCAGCCAAGUCGCGUGAGGGAUGACGGCGCAGAGCGUUGCAGACUUCUUUUGUCUGGGGAUAAAAUGCCGUAUGUGUCCUGCUUUGCGUGUACCUUGUGAAAAAGCAUCGGCUAACUCCGUGCCAGCAGCCGCGGUAAUACGGAGGAUGCGAGCGUUAUCCGGAUUUAUUGGGUUUAAAGGGUGCGUAGGCGGGUCGUUAAGGCAGUUGUGAAAGUGUGCGGCUCAACCGUCACAUUGCCGUUGAGACUGGCAGCCUUGAGUGCAGCAGAGGCAGGCGGAAUUCGCGGUGUAGCGGUGAAAUGCUUAGAUAUCGCGAAGAACCCCGAUUGCGAAGGCAGCCUGCUGGGCUGUAACUGACGCUGAGGCACGAAAGCGUGGGGAUCGAACAGGAUUAGAUACCCCGGUAGUC